GACGAACGCUGGCGGCGUGCUUAACACAUGCAAGUCGAACGGAAAGGCCCUGCUUUUGUGGGGUGCUCGAGUGGCGAACGGGUGAGUAACACGUGAUUAACCUGCCCUUGACUUUGGGAUAACUUCAGGAAACUGGGGCUAAUACCGGAUAGGAGCUCCUGCUGCAUGGUGGGGGUUGGAAGGUUUCGGCGGUUGGGGAUGGACUCGCGGCUUAUCAGCUUGUUGGUGGGGUAGUGGCUUACCAAGGCUUUGACGGGUAGCCGGCCUGAGAGGGUGACCGGCCACAUUGGGACUGAGAUACGGCCCAGACUCCUACGGGAGGCAGCAGUGGGGAAUAUUGCACAAUGGGCGGAAGCCUGAUGCAGCAACGCCGCGUGCGGGAUGACGGCCUUCGGGUUGUAAACCGCUUUCGCCUGUGACGAAGCGUGAGUGACGGUAAUGGGUAAAGAAGCACCGGCUAACUACGUG
rnacentral:rRNA from 1 species